UACGUAGGUGGCAAGCGUUGUCCGGAUUUACUGGGCGUAAAGGAUGCGUAGGCGGACAUUUAAGUCAGAUGUGAAAUACCCGAGCUUAACUUGGGUGCUGCAUUUGAAACUGGGUGUCUAGAGUGCAGGAGAGGUAAGUGGAAUUCCUAGUGUAGCGGUGAAAUGCGUAGAGAUUAGGAAGAACACCAGUGGCGAAGGCGACUUACUGGACUGUAACUGACGCUGAGGUAUGAAAGCUAGGGGAGCAAACGGG
rnacentral:rRNA from 1 species